CUGGCGGCGUGCCUAACACAUGCAAGUCGAGCGAGAAAGUUCCUUCGGGAGACGAGUACAGCGGCGGACGGGUGAGUAACACGUGAACAACCUACCCUUGAGACAGGGAUAACAGCGGGAAACCGUUGCUAAUACCUGAUAUGAUCAUAGUAUCGCAUGAUAUUGUGAGGAAAGGAUUUAUUGCUCAAGGAUGGGUUCGCGUCCCAUUAGCUAGUUGGUGGGGUAAAGGCCUACCAAGGCGACGAUGGGUAGCCGGCCUGAGAGGGUGUCCGGCCACACUGGAACUGAGACACGGUCCAGACUCCUACGGGAGGCAGCAGUGGGGAAUUUUGCGCAAUGGGGGAAACCCUGACGCAGCGACGCCGCGUGAGCGAAAGAAGGUUUUCGGAUCGUAAAGCUCUGUCGUUUGAGACGAAUGUGCAGACUUUGAAUAAGGGUUUGUAAUGACGGUAUUAAACGAGAAAGCCACGGCUAACUACGUGCCAGCAGCUGC
rnacentral:rRNA from 1 species